CUGGCCUGAGAGCGGAGUAGGGUCAGGAUGGACAAGGACGUGCUGACCACCCUGAAGAUCCUCAUCAUCGGCGAGAGUGGCGUGGGCAAGUCCAGGUGAGGCGAGCCUGCGGGCCGUGACGAGGGCAGCGGGGCUCUUCCUGACGCCGUGGCCUCUGUCUGCUGGGCCGCGACGGGAACGGUAAAGGCGGCGGGCCAGGCUGGGGGCGGGCUCCGCGNNNNNNNNNNNNNNNNNNNNNNNNNNNNNNNNNNNNNNNNNNNNNNNNNNNNNNNNNNNNNNNNNNNNNNNNNNNNNNNNNNNNNNNNNNNNNNNNNNNNNNNCGAAGCCGGGUCUCGGCCCCCGGGGUCCAGGCUCACUGUCAUUCACCCCGCGAGUUGAGUUGGAACUCCAGCGCUUUGGUUUUUGUCAAGCUUUCUCUGAACACGCAGGGCUCUGCACGGGAAGUUUCGCGACGCCUUAGGUCACAUUCCUGGCCUAUUUUGGUGCACCCCGUUGCCGCUUCUCUGUUUCUUUAUGAGUCAGCUGUGAAAGAACUCCUUGGUCUUCUGACCCCUUGAGUAAUUCACCUUAGCCUAAGAUACGAGUUGAAGCGGCGGACCACCCUUGAGAGUAACAUGUUAUUGUUGCCUCGCGUUCUGCCACAUCAUCUGGAGGUAAAAGAACAAAGUAGUAUUUUGUGUUUUCUUUCUUGACUUUUUCUUGAGGGACGGUGGUAACGGACGGUAAAUUCGAGUUAAAUGUCAGUCAGGGAAGGCUCAGUGGGUGUUGCAAGCGGGGUGUGAUUUCAUUCAAGCCUUAGAACAGAGUUCCCCAAGGAAUGUUAUCUUUGCCAUCUGAUGAUUAUCAUCAUCACUGGCUUAUAUUCUAGGCUGUCUUGAUUUUUAAACAAUAUUCAAAUUUCGGGAGCUGUAAAUAAUUCCAUGGUUUAGCUGUGCCUCCUGCUAACCGUAUCGUUCAAAUCAGUUCAUAAAGUUUUCCUUUUGUUUAGAUGCUUACGGGUUUGAAAUUUUAUUCUGUAAUAUGUUCUGCAAUUGUAUAUAUAUUUUAAAGUAUGGCAAUGUAGUUUCUAAUUUUCCUCAUUUAAUGUUCUCAGUGUAUAUUGGAGUGGGGGAUUGGCACAUAACGGGGAAUAAAUUUAUGAAUCUAUGGGCUAGCAAAAUAGUGCGGUGUGUGUGUUAUUUAAAGGUUUCAAUAUUUUUCAUGAUCACCAUCUAUUAUAUUUGAGGGUUAAAAAAUUAGUUAAUAUAUUGAACAUUGUCAAAAGGAAUUCUAUAGCCUCGUGACCUUUCUUUUUUUCAUAAGAUGUGACUCUCAUUUUAGGUUAAGGCAUAUGAAAUUGCUGAGUUUGAACUCAAGAAUGGUUAAAUGUCAUUUUCUGCAGUUCAACCCAAUACAAGUUUGGUCGGCCCUUUUUAAAAAUGUAUUGGAGGGAUGACUAUUUAGGCCCUGUUAAAAUUUUCUGGAAGGUUAAUUGGAGUGUUUACAUAAUUGAGGUUCUUCCUCUAGCAUAAAAUCUGUGAAAUGGAUUUACUGGUUUCCUUACUUCUCUCCCCUCAGACAAACAAAUGUGUUUGGAUCUAAUCUCCAAGCUUUUCUAAGAACUUAAUGGCGAAUUUUCAGCUGCUUACUGCAAAAUUUUAACACCUUUAACUUCCUCUUUCAAGAAAGGAUUGUGUUUAGGGAGAAAGUUGGCAUCUGUCUAUAUACCUAUCUAGAUGUAGAUAUACUAGACAAGCACUAUUGGUGUAUGUGAUAUACUAUGGAAAACACCCUUGAACACUUUCUGGAUGAGAAUAAAUGACUCUGCUAAAAUAGAAGCCUAUGCUUUUUAAGGUGAGUUAGUACAAAAACAUUUGUCAUGGAUACAAUCUUCACGGGUUGUUCUGACCAGUAAGUUUCUAUGAUCUAGAGCUAGUAGAAGUGCAACAUCACUUGUAUUGUUGCAUGACAAAGGACAUCUUUUUUAAAAAUUUAAAUUAAUUAAUUAAUUAAUUUAAAUCCAAGUUAGUUAACAUAUGGUGUAAUAAUGAUUUCAGGAAAAGAAUUUAAUGAUUCGUCACUUACUUGUAACACCCAGUGCUCAUCCCAACAAGUGUCCUCCUUAAUGCCCCUUGCCCAUUUAGCCCAUCCCCCCAGCCAACAUCCCUCCAAGCAACCCUCAGCUUGUUCUCUGUAUUUAAGAGUCUCUUAUGGUUUGUCUCCCUCUCUGUUUUUUAAUAUUAUUUUUGCUUCCUUUCCCUUAUGUUCAUCUGUUUUGUCACUACAAAGAAUAUCUUAACUAAUUCAAAUUAGUGGGUUAUUUUUCCAGUUUAUUUCAGACUGUUGGAGUAUAAUGAGCAUGGGUGAUAGCAGUCAGAUCAGGAUUAUGAAACUGGUGCUGCCACUUGUGUGACCUUGUGUGUGAUACUUGAACACUCUAGGCGUUCAUUUCUUCAUUUGAAAAAUGAGGUUCGAAUGGAAAUCCCUCAAACCUUAACUGAUGUUAAAUGUAUGAGAUUCUUCUGUGGCUCACAGUGGGGAAGUAAAGAAGUAGCGAAGUGUUUCAGAGACUGGAAUGGAUUAUAGAGACUUUGUAUUAUCUAAAUUGCUGUCUCUCCUAUCCCUCUUGUGUCCCCAUCCUUUUUGGCCAAUUUCAUUUGUAAAUUAGGAAAGGCAGACUAAUUAUGAUCACACUGUUUAUUGGAAACUUGGUCUCCUCUCAGUGAUACAGUGGUAGUUACUCCUUCCAUCUCUCGCUCUGUGUGGAGGGUAUUUUGCUCCUUUAACUUUGAAAAUAUGAAAGCUUAAAUAUACAUCCUUUAGAGCUUUGGUUCUUAAUCAUUUUCUGGUUGUGGAUUCUUUAAAAAAUCUAAUGGAGAAAUAGACUCUCUGCCUUGAAGGAAGCAGAGCAUAGAGUUUAGAAUACAUUUCCAGCUAACAGUGUACCCCUGGCUAAGUUCUGCUUAUGUUAAAAUGUGUUGCUUUGUACCAUAUCAGUUCCCUGUCCUUCCUGACAAAGUACCAUUAAUGGCAAGUGUUAUUGUAAGGAUUAGCAAUUGUGUAAGAAGAACCGCUGGCUCAAGUGUGUGGCAUAUUGUUGAUGUUCAAUAAAUCAUAGCCAAUACUGUUGUUAUUAUUGUAUUGUUCUGGUGUUAUGAUUGCUACUACUACUCUACAAGGUUCUUAUGUUUUUGUAAUAAUAUUUCUUUGGUGACUGAGUAUGGAUACAUACCUUUUCCAUUCUAAAAUUAUGAGUAACUAAAUUUUUAGUGAAAUCUUCACUUUUAUUAACUUAAAAUUUAAUGUUGGGGAGAGAAGAUUUUUACAAGUGCAGCCUUUUAAGAUCCUUGUUAGUGCUGUCACCUAACUCAUGUUGGAAGUAAAAACCGUACAGUCAGGAGGGUUCAAUGUUAAGUAGAAAAAUCUACAAUUUGUUUCACUUUUGUGGUGCUGGUUUUAUGGUAAACACAAGAAGGCAAAACCAAGAAAAGGAGAGUUAAUCCCUUAACACCAGAUUUUGAAUACCAAAAGGCCAUUAUGUGUUGCAAUAUACUCUGGACAAAAAAAAAANNNNNNNNNNNNNNNNNNNNNNNNNNNNNNNNNNNNNNNNNNNNNAUAUAUAUAUAUAUAUAUAUAUAUAUAUAUGUAUAUACAUUUUUUUUUCAGUUCAAACAUCUGAUAGCUAUUUCCUUGAUCUUACUAAUGCAUACAGGUGAAUAGAACAGUCUAGUCCUAUUGUUGGAGAUGAUGUGAGGGAGGAUUGAUUAAUUUUAUAAAAUCCAGGGCUUUAAGAAAAGCUUAGAUUUUAUUUUUGAAGAGCUUUUAAUCACUGGCACUUUACCUUACAGUAAAUAAGUAAUUCUGGGAGAUAUAUAAUCUUAGAGUACUCCUAAUGGUGUCUUUUGCUUUUAUUUCAUCUUUUCCCUUCUAGUUUCUUUACUGUUUCCUGGAUUUAGUCCUUAUCUCUCACCAUAACCAUGGCAGUUGUCUUCUGUUAAUUUUCUUGCUUUUUUUUUCCUGUCAUUAACUUUUCUUUACAUUUUCAAAAUGUAAGAGCAUUUCUUGCCAUUUUUUUUUUUUUAAGCUUUCAGUAGCUCCCUGUGGCCUACUUGAUUUCAUACACCCUUCUUAGCAUUUGCCAGAAUGUAGUUAUUCUGUCUCUGGUAUGAUCUGUCUACCCUCACUUUUUGCUAGAUCUUUUCUUCCCACUUAGGUAGUAGUCCUACUACUUGUUACAAAAUGAUAGAUUUUCUCACCUGUAUGUUUUUACUUGAAUUCAGAGUGGAUUACACAUCAGACUUAAACAAAACAUUAAUUUGUUGUAUUCCAAGAGACUUAUUUUCCCCCCUUUUGUCCAUGUCACAGUAUAAUGUUUUUGCCGAUACUAUUUUCUCACAAGGACGUACCAGUACAGUUCAAAACCAAAACACAGCCCAAAUCUUUUCACACUUGGGAAUUAUGUAGGGGAGCAUGGGGACUAUAUUAAGUAAACUAUUUUGCUCUUGGGAUUCUUUUAUUGCCUUUUCAAUAAUUUAAUUAUUGGAAUUAAAUUAUUAUAAUAAUAAAUAAAUUAUUUUCAAUAAUUUAAUAUACCUGUAUUGAAGCAGUAUUUAUAUACCUGCACUGAGGCAGUAUUUGUGGGAGCAGACCAACAUCAGCGAUUCUUAUUUGUGUCUAAUUUGUAACAAAAUGUAAUACAUGGUUAAGAAAAAGAGAAAUUUCUAAUCUGUCUUUUUAACAUCUCUUUUAGCCUGCUCUUGAGGUUCACAGAUGAUACUUUUGAUCCAGAACUUGCAGCAACGAUAGGUAAGCCUGUAUUUAAAAAUUCAGUAGAGGGG
rnacentral:lncRNA from 1 species